rnacentral:lncRNA from 1 species
GAUAUCUGCUUGAUGCACCAUGUUGUUUCUGAGACUCCCCUGAACCUACCUUUCUUGAUGAUCGAUGUCAUGAGGGAAGCCUUGAACAGAUCCAAGACUCUCUUGCCAUAUGGCAUGGCUCUCACAAUAAUUUUUAGGGAGUCUGGAGUGAGUUUUGAGGAAAAAGUUAUUUGUAGACUGUCAUACACCGACAGCUACAACAACCACUCCCUUCGGUGCAUGGGGUUUGUCAGAGUAGAUGGCCGUUGGGCCAAAGGCCGUGUAGCUGCAGUUGAGGAGG